rnacentral:rRNA from 1 species
GAUGAACGCUGGCGGCGUGCCUAAUACAUGCAAGUCGAGCGAACAGAUAAGGAGCUUGCUCCUUUGACGUUAGCGGCGGACGGGUGAGUAACACGUGGGUAACCUACCUAUAAGACUGGGAUAACUUCGGGAAACCGGAGCUAAUACCGGAUAAUAUUUCGAACCGCAUGGUUCGAUAGUGAAAGAUGGUUUUGCUAUCACUUAUAGAUGGACCCGCGCCGUAUUAGCUAGUUGGUAAGGUAACGGCUUACCAAGGCGACGAUACGUAGCCGACCUGAGAGGGUGAUCGGCCACACUGGAAAUGAGACACGGUCCAGACUCCUACGGGAGGCAGCAGUAGGGAAUCUUCCGCAAUGGGCGAAAGCCUGACGGAGCAACGCCGCGUGAGUGAUGAAGGUCUUCGGAUCGUAAAACUCUGUUAUUAGGGAAGAACAUACGUGUAAGUAACUGUGCACGUCUUGACGGUACCUAAUCAGAAAGCCACGGCUAACUACGUG